rnacentral:rRNA from 1 species
GAUGAACGCUGGCGGCGUGCCUAAUACAUGCAAGUCGAACGCACAGCGAAAGGUGCUUGCACCUUUCAAGUGAGUGGCGAACGGGUGAGUAGCACGUGGACAACCUGCCUCAAGGCUGGGGAUAACAUUUGGAAACAGAUGCUAAUACCGAAUAAAACUCAGUGUCGCAUGACACAAAGUUAAAAGGCGCUUUGGCGUCACCUAGGGAUGGAUCCGCGGUG